GACGAACGCUGGCGGCGUGCUUAACACAUGCAAGUCGAGCGGAGCGGCGAACGGGUGAGUAACGCGGGAGUAACUGCCCCCCUCUCUGGGAUAACAGUUGGAAACGGCUGCUAAUACCGGAUAGUGGGGGAUGACUCGCGUCAUAACAGCUUGUGGGUGGGGUAGUGGCCUACCAAGGCGACGACGGGUAGCCGGCCUGAGAGGGCGCCCGGCCACAUUGGGCUGAGAUACGGACCAGACGCCGACGUGAGGCAGCAGUGGGGAAUAUGGCACAAUGGGGGAAACCCUGAUGCAGCAACGCCGCGUGCGGGAUGACGGCCUUCGGGUUGUAAACCGCUUUCAGCCAUGACGCGGUAGUGGCAGAAGAAGCACCGGCUAACUUCGUGCCAGCAGCCGCGGUAAUUC
rnacentral:rRNA from 1 species